rnacentral:rRNA from 1 species
UACGGAGGGUGCUAGCGUUGUUCGGAAUUACUGGGCGUAAAGAGCGUGUAGGCGGCCCGGUAAGUCCGCUGUGAAAGUCGGGGGCUCAACCCUCGAAUGCCGGUGGAUACUGUCGGGCUAGAGUGCGGAAGAGGCGAGUGGAAUUCCUGGUGUAGCGGUGAAAUGCGCAGAUAUCAGGAGGAACACCGAUUGCGAAGGCAGCUCGCUGGGACGUAACUGACGCUGAGACGCGAAAGCGUGGGGAGCAAACAGG